ACAGCUCAAAUUUGAAAUCUGGCUCUUUCAGGGUCCGAGUUGUAAUUUGUAGAAGAUGCUUCGGGUGUGGUGCCGGUCUAAGUUCCUUGGAACAGGACGUCAUAGAGGGUGAGAAUCCCGUACGUGACCGUGCGCCUACGCUCAUGUGAAGCUCUUUCAACGAGUCGAGUUGUUUGGGAAUGCAGCUCAAAAUGGGUGGUAUAUUUCAUCUAAAGCUAAAUAUUGGCCAGAGACCGAUA
rnacentral:rRNA from 1 species